rnacentral:rRNA from 1 species
UACGAAGGGGACUAGCGUUGUUCGGAAUUACUGGGCGUAAAGCGCGUGUAGGCGGCCCUGCAAGUCGGGUGUGAAAUCCCACGGCUCAACCGUGGAAGUGCACUCGAAACUGCAGGGCUAGAGUCCUGGAGAGGAAGGUGGAAUGCUUGGUGUAGAGGUGAAAUUCGUAGAUAUCAAGCGGAACACCGGUGGCGAAGGCGGCCUUCUGGACAGUGACUGACGCUGAGACGCGAAAGCGUGGGGAGCAAACAGG